GGUCAUGAGUGCCAGCGGAUAGCUCCGGCUUGCUGGCCGGCAACCCUCCUACCGCGGUGGGGUGCCCCGGAUGAAGACCUGGCUUGGUGCGAGGUGCAUCAGGCAAGCGCGGACC
rnacentral:ncRNA from 2 species